ACCUACAACAUCCCAAGGUUAUGAUAGUUAAAAGGAGCCCUGCAAAAUGUCAGUGCUUGCCAGCAUGAGUAUGAAAAAGUUAAAGCAUCACAAAAGCACUCCUGCAAGUUUGGUAUUAACACAAGCAAAGGCUUUCCCCUAUAUUAUUGAUCUUAUCACAGGAAGGAAGCUUUUUAAAAGAGAAAACUGUUAAAAACCAGAUUUUUUUGGUAUCUGGAUCAAGAUAUUGUCAAUUUAAGUCAAGAGAGACAUUUUAAAAGAAAGACAUAUAUCUUAAUUGUUUUCCUUAUUUACAAUUCAUGGAGAGAUUUAAGAAAGAUAAGAAAGUAUUGAUUAAAGAGGCAAGAGACAAUUUUAUUCAGAACUGCCUAAGGGUGAUAAUAAUAUAAUUAGAAAAUUAUACAAGCAUCUCUUGAAGUUGGAGACAGAAAAUAAAUCAGUGGUUGCAUGUUGUGAAUUAAUUUGUAUGUUUCAAAAUUUAAUAAUAUAAGCUCACCUACGAGGGAAAAAAAAGAUGUUAGCUUGCCAGUUGCAAGCAAAGCACAUUAACAGCCAUGCCCCCGCUUUUUCUUUUGCAAGAUCAGCUAAGCAAAAUGUUUUGCAGAGUACAAACUGUUCUGACAAGUAGGACUUGUUACAGAACUUUCAGCUUCUCUGCAAUAAGAUGUGCUGAGUCUUUGUUUCUUCUGUCAAGAGUCUGUGCAGGAGCUGUGCCUUCCGGGAUUCAUCUUUCCAUUGGCUGAUGACACAGAAUGAGGCUGAGGAUCUCGUGGUGGGAAGAGAGAAUAGCUGAGAAUGCUUACAGGUUUGAAAAUGAGAUGUCUCUCAACUGAUUUGUCGCUUUCUUCCCCUUUUGAAUUUCAUUUAGAUGUAUAUAUCUGUGUAAGUGCUGUCACCUAGUGGUGUUUUGUUUCGAUAUACAUACUGUUGAAAAGGCAUAAUAUUAAAGGAAGAAAAGAUUGAAGAGGGAAA